rnacentral:rRNA from 1 species
UUGGAGGGCAAGUCUGGUGCCAGCAGCCGCGGUAAUUCCAGCUCCAAUAGCGUAUAUUAAAGUUGUUGCAGUUAAAAAGCUCGUAGUUGAAUUUCGGGAUUGACGUGAUGGUCAUGCCUUAAGGGGUAUGAACUGUCACUGUUGAUUUCUCACCUUCUGGAGAAACUUGAUGUCCUUUAUUGGGUGUCUUGCGGAUCCAGGACCUUUACCUUGAAAAAAUUAGAGUGUUUAAAGCAGGCAUUUUUGCUCGAAUACAUUAGCAUGGAAUAAUAGAAUAGGACGGCAUGGUUCUAUUUUGUUGGUUUCUAGGAUCACCGUAAUGAUUAAUAGGGAUAGUUGGGGGCAUUAGUAUUCAAUUGUCAGAGGUGAAAUUCUUGGAUUUAUUGAAGACUAACUACUGCGAAAGCAUUUGCCAAGGAUGUUUUCAUUAAUCAAGAACGAAAGUUAGGGGAUCGAAGACGAUCAGAUACCGUCGUAGUCUUAACCAUAAACUAUGCCGACUAGGAAUCAGACGAUGUUAAUUUUUUAAUGACUCGUUUGGCACCUUACGGGAAACCAAAGUGUUUGGGUUC